UUUUUUUUAUUUUACUGAGAUUUGAGAUGUCCAUGAUUUUCUAUCUCAUAGGUUGGGUGAAUCAGGUGACCGGGUAAGGACAUGAUUUCCAUCAAAUUAAUUUUCUGUCUAGUCAUCCUACAUAUAUUCACCCAUUCCAUUUGUCUAUACUGAGAUAGCAUUUGAGGAGAAAUGCAAUAAUAAGUUACUCGCUCUGUGAUAUGUUAUUUUGACUCUUGUCAAUGUUAUGGAUCGGAGACACC
rnacentral:lncRNA from 1 species